ACUCUUGGGAAUAUACUCAAAAGAUGCUCCACCAUGCCACAGGAGAAGGUGUUCCACUAUGUUAAUAGCAGCCUUAUUUGUGAUAACCAGAAGCUGGAAACAACCUAGAUGUUCCAUAACAGAAGAAUGGAUACAGAAAAUGUGGUUCAUUUACACAAUGGAACACUACUUAAUUAUUACAAAUGAGGACAUCCUGAGUUUUGCAGGCAAAACUAGAAACUAUCAUCCUGAGUGAGAUGACUCAGACUCAAAAAGACAUGCAUGGGAUGGAAAUGGAGAGGAGCCUGAGGAAAAGAAGGUCCAGCUACGGGCCCAAAAUGGGAUCCAGAUCAAGGGGAUGUCCCAAACCUGACACUAUUACCGAGGCUAUGGAGUGCUCACAAAAAGGGAUCUAUCAUGACUGCUCUUCGAAAGACCCAACAAGCAACUGAAAGAGUCAGAUGAAGAUAUUUGCACCCAACCAAUGGACAGAAACCAAUGACCCCUGUUGUUGAAUUAGGUACAUGGAAAGCAUCUGGAUAUAACAACACCUAUUCGGAUUUUGUCCUUAUACCACAGUAAGGGUAUUCUCAGCCUCAUAAAAGAAGCCUUUUUAUCCCGAUGAUGGAGUUUCAACAUUUCUUUGGAGACUCAGUUGUGUCUUGUGAUGUUUUUCUGGAAGCUGCCUGGAAAAGAAGGAUGUGAUGUUGGGAAAUAUAACCCAACAGACAAGAAUGGAGAGGACACAUUCAUGUAUCCGCACGUAUGGAAAACUCAUCUUUUGAGCAUGUGAGGUUCCCAACAGGAACAUGUAUGACUCAAAGUCAGCAGCCUCACCAGGAAGUCCACCCAUGUAUGAAUGAUUACUCAUGAAAACUGUUUUCGAGAUGCUUCAUGCACAAGACUAAGCUCUAUGACCUGGAAUGUCUCCUCUCAACCACAACUGUUACUGACAAUAUAUCCUAAGAGGGGAGAUUUAAAAAAAAAUCUUGUAAGUUUCAGGAACUUCAUUAAUCUUAAGGAACUUCCCUCUAGUAUAGAAUGCUUCCAUUCAGAGGAGAUUGCUACACAACAAAGAAUAAUUUAAAAGUAAGAACAAAGGGAUAAAGAGACAAAAGGACAAAUGAUUGUUCAGUGUUUGUGGUAGCAGUAUCAUUGAGAUAUUAUAAUAAAUAGCAACAUACCUAAAGCAUAAAAGAAAUAAAACAUUGACAGAUGUAAUUUA
rnacentral:lncRNA from 1 species